CUCAUCUCAAAGACAAUUAAUAGCCUGUGGUCUCCACAUAAACAGCAACAAGACAAGGACUCACAGGCACUGGACAGCUAAGCAGCAGAUCUGCUGGGAAGUGGUCAGAUUUUUGGAGCCUUAGGGAAGUACUGUACCUUUUGAAUGGUGUUCAGGGAAUUGAGAGUGCUCAACAUCAUUUGCAAUAAAUCACUGGCUUCUGAAGGACUGAGCCUCAGGUGUGGACUGUCCACAGCCCUGAGUUCUGGACCUACCAUUAUCAUCCUCUCUAGGAUAUGCCACCACUCAGACAGUGAUCUUCCAGUCUAUCAGGUACAGAGUACUUCAUUAUGUGCACGAACAGAAAUGCUUAAAUGGAUGAAGCAGCUAUUUACGUCUGAUAGGAGCUAAGUGGGACAUUAAAUUAAUGCCAAACAA
rnacentral:lncRNA from 1 species